ensembl:lncRNA
CUAUUAAGAAUAUAUGAAGAUAUCAAUGUUGAACAAAGUUCACAAAUAAAUCAUCCUGUGUCUAGUUAGCCUGAUGCCAUCUUGCCCAAAAGUAUCAUCACUGAAAAAAAUCAUAUCAACCCUGUCAAUCCAUAAAGACAGGAAUAGUUAUUCAAAUAAACUUGGCAUGUCUUGGCAAAUCACUCAAAUGUUAUGAAUACAUCCAAGAAUGCUUUGGCAGAGAGAGCAGGGUUUAAAUCUGCAGCCAUUUCAGAGUAUAUUGCAAACAAUCAUCAUCUGAUAUUUAAAUUUCUUGAACUUUAAAUAGUCUUAUCUAAUGCUGCUGCCUGGACUCCAUUCUUCAUGCUGUCAGACAAACUAUAUUCUUCAGGCAGUAACAUAUACCAAGGGUGAAAUAGAUGCUUGUCAGUCUCUGAAUCUUGUAAGUGUUCAUUACAUGUUGAUUAUUGAUUAAACCAUCAAACAGGAAGAGUAGUGGCAAAGUGGUAUGAGCGCUGGAGUUGACCUGAAUCCUGUUUCCCUUUUACUAGUUUUAUAAGUUGGACAAGUAAUUUUUCCAUCCUUAGUUUCUUUAUCUUUAAAAUGAAGCUAAUUAUACCUCAGAGGAUUGUUGCAAGGAUUAAAUGAGAUAUUGCAGGCAAAGUGCUAAGCUAACACGUGGCAUGGGGGAGACCUCAAUAGAUGUUAGCUAUUAUACUUAAUUCAUCAAAUUUUUUUUCUUAGAUGUGAAAUGAACUGCAGAGAGCACAGUUUUACAAGCACAGCUUGAGUCUGAGUUCUAGCUACUGCCCAGUUGUGUGACCUCGGCCAAUCUGUUCCAGACUCAGAACAGAGCGACUCAGACUUGGAACACAGCGACUCAGAAUCAGGACACAGUGACUCAGACUCGGGACACAGCGACUCAGACUCGGAAGUUCCACGUGGCUGAAGAGACCUCAAAACUUACAAUCCUGGAAGAAGGUGAAGGGGAAGCAAGGCAUGUCUUACAUGGUGAUGAGAAAGAAAAAGAAAGCGAGAGAGAGGAGGUGCCACACUUUAAAACCAUCAUCUUACAUGAGAUCUCACUCAUGAUCAGGAAAACAUCAGGGUGAAACCACCCCCAAGAUCCAGUUACUUCUUAACAAGUCCCUCCCUCAACACAUGGGGAUUACAAUUCAAGAUGACAUUUGAGUGGGGACACAGAACCAAACCAUAUCAGCAUGGUUAUACAUGCUAGAGACAGAACAGAAAGAAAAAUAGCAAAAACAUAGUGCUCCUACUCUUUAUAUCCUAAUGCCUUUAAGAAUGUAAUGUGAUGAAUGGCUAGAGGCAUAUUAUACCAUGAGGUACAUCUGAAGAUAGAAAUCAAAUGUGCAGAGCAGAAAAAGAGAAGAAAUUACAAUAUUUGAUGAUUUCAUGGAACAUUAAUUCAAGCCAUAAUUCCAACCAGAUUCUAUCACAGCUUCUAAACUUUUUCACCUGAGAACAUAAACUCUUUUUGUGUUUAAGCUUGUGUAUUUGAGUCUCCAAAAGUAGUAAUCAAAUCUGAAAGUUCCUGAUACCCAUUUUUCAAACUGUAUCUCACGUUUAAUUUCAUCCGGAUGAUACUCCUGUGGUCUCCCAGUGACCCCUGACCACUUUGCUCUUAUGUUAUCUCUUGGUGCUCUGGACAACUAAUGGGUCUAUCCACAACAUUCAUUAGCCAUUUUCAUAUGCUCUCUUGCAUUGUUAGUUAUCUUUUAAUAUAUAGAUUUUAACUAUACUGUAUAUAGCUUCAAAUAUACUGUAAAUAAGACCAAGUGAAAUGUCUGUUUAUUCUUGGUAUUCCUUAGGGAAAUGUUAAUAUCCUAUAGUAAAUAUUUGAUAAACAAGUAAAUGAAUAAAUAUUUCUUUGUUACUUGAUUUAGUACCAUAUGGUAGGUAGAUAUUCAUCUAAGAAGAAUUCUCUCUGGGGUUUCUGCCCAUAAUUUACCCUAGAUUAUCUGGGUGAGAUUUUUCUAAUCUAAUCAGUAUCAUUUCAAUUCAUUCGAAUAAAGUAUAAGCAUGUACUUCACAGCAAGCAGGGAAUACAGUAUUAUCAUGUAUUUCACAGCAAGCAAGGAUCCCCCUCAGUGAUCUUGCACAUCAAAAGUGGAGACUCAUAUGUAAUGAAUAUUCACAAUAAAGGAUAAAACUAUUAUGUUAGAUGGAGUCAGAAUACAGUGGGAAAAGAGAGCUGGGAACCAACUUGAGUUUAAAGUGAGAAAAGACCUCUUUGAAGAUGUGAUAUUUAAGCUGAAAUUCAAUAGUGGGUGUUUUUAUUAUUUUGAUUCUGAUCUGAUGUAGCACAACACAAGAUGCAGCACAGUUCAUAUGGCUGCAGACAUCCAAGAACCACAAGCAUGUCCAUAGGCAUGUUUACCAUGCUGAGCAUAAAUGCAACAAAAAAAAAAAGGAAGAGAAAAAGAUACUAUGUGAUGUAAGAGAAACUAGUUGGAAGUUUUUUGGAUUAAGAGGGAGGAAAAGAGCAGGAAGAGGAGAAAAAGGAGGUGGGGGGAGAAAAAAGAGGCAGAGAAAGAGAAGAAGAGGAUAAAAAAGAAAAGAAGGAGAAGUUUAAGAAGAUACCUCUAAAAUAGUCACGAUACAAAUUGAACUGAGGACAAAGUUCAAACAUGACAGCCUCUGAUCUCUUCCAGAUUUUUGUCUAGAUGUGUUUAUUAAUAAGUUACUAAACUAUGAAGGGCACAUAAAAGCUCUAUUGAGAUAUAAUUGAUAUAUAAUAACUUGGCCACAUGUAAAUACACAAUUUGAUUAGUUUUGAAGCACUACAUAUAUAUGUGUGUACCCAUGAAACUAUCACAACAAUGAAGUUAAUGAGCAUAUAUAUCACUUUCAAAUGUUUCUUAGUAUCCCUUUGAAGUCCCUCAUCCAUGUCACCAGGCAAUUAAUAAGUUUUCUGUAAACUAAUUUGAGUUUUCUAGAAUUUUACAUAAACAGAAUUAUACCAUAUACAUUCUUGUCUCUGGAAAAACACUGUCAUAUUUUUCACUUGGAAUAAUUAUUCUGAAUUUAAUCCAAGUUGUUGCAGAAAUUAAUCCAAGUUUUUAUUG